AAAGUUUUAAGUUAAAUUUAAACUAAUAAUUUUCAAAAUUAUAAAUAAAAUUAAAUUUUAAGCUUUA
rnacentral:tRNA from 1 species